AAUGAACGCUGGCGGCGUGCUUAACACAUGCAAGUCGCACGAGAACGCUUCAGCUUGCUGAAGUUAGUAAAGUGGCGCACGGGUGAGUAACGCGUGGGUAAUCUACCUCCGAAUUGGGGAUAACAUUGCGAAAGCGAUGCUAAUACCGGAUAAUAUCUAAAAAAUUUCGAUUUUUAAGAUCAAAGGUGACCUCUACUUGUAAGUUACUGUUCGGAGAUGAGCCCGCGUACCAUUAGCUUGUUGGUAGGGUAAUAGCCUACCAAGGCUACGAUGGUUAGCUGGUCUGAGAGGAUGAUCAGCCACACUGGAACUGACACACGGUCCAG
rnacentral:rRNA from 1 species